rnacentral:misc_RNA from 1 species
AAGAAAGGGGCGUGUGACAGACUUUUGAACAAUAAUGCAAUAUUCAGAGCACAUUAAUAGCAGUGUCUUUCAUUUUUGGUGGAUCUGAACUGUGUUUUAUAACCACAACACUUCUUCUGAUCAAUAUUUAUGUGAGAUUGAUUUUCUUUGUUUGAUAUAACUCUUUGUGUGUUUCCGUAAGAAUGGAACCCUGUACAUAUCAAAUAUGUUUUCAGGUACAUGUAUAUUACUAUAAAUGUUUUUCAUUAAAGGAAGGUUUAAAAAU